rnacentral:rRNA from 1 species
AUGGCGGUGCGGGCGGGGUGGGUGGUGGCGGUGGCGCGGGGGUCGGCGGCGGCGUGGCAGCGCGUGGCGUGCAACCCGGAGACGCUCCCGCCCGACCGCGUCCUCGCGCUCAUCUUCUGCGGGCCGCUCCACCUCCUCGCGCGCCUCGCCGCCUGCCUCUGCGUCCCCCUCCUCGCCGCCAGCGCCCCCUUCCGCUUUGCCUCCCCUCGCCGCCGCCGCCGGAUGCUCCUGCUCCCGGCCCCCGAGCUGUUGCUAGCUCCGUACUCCCCCUCCCCCUCCUCCUCCUCCUCAUCGUCCGACGAGGAUGACGACGACGGCGACUACGGCGGCACUGAGGACGGGGACGGCAUCAGCCCUCACGUCGAUUGA